rnacentral:rRNA from 1 species
GAGUUUGAUCCUGGCUCAGGACGAACGCUGGCGGCGCGCCUAACACAUGCAAGUCGAACGAGCGAGAGAGAGCUUGCUUUCUCAAGCGAGUGGCGAACGGGUGAGUAACGCGUGAGGAACCUGCCUCAAAGAGGGGGACAACAGUUGGAAACGACUGCUAAUACCGCAUAAGCCCACAGCUCGGCACCGAGCAGAGGGAAAAGGAGCAAUCCGCUUUGAGAUGGCCUCGCGUCCGAUUAGCUGGUUGGUGAGGUAAUGGCCCACCAAGGCGACGAUCGGUAGCCGGACUGAGAGGUUGAACGGCCACAUUGGGACUGAGACACGGCCCAGACUCCUACGGGAGGCAGCAGUGGGGAAUAUUGCACAAUGGGGGAAACCCUGAUGCAGCGACGCCGCGUGGAGGAAGAAGGUCUUCGGAUUGUAAACUCCUGUUGUUGAGGAAGAUAAUGACGGUACUCAACAAGGAAGUGACGGCUAACUACGUGCCAGCAGCCGCGGUAAAACGUACGUCACAAGCGUUGUCCGGAAUUACUGGGUGUAAAGGGAGCGCAGGCGGGAAGACAAGUUGGAAGUGAAAUCUAUGGGCUCAACCCAUAAACUGCUUUCAAAACUGUUUUUCUUGAGUAGUGCACAGGUAGGCGGAAUUCCCGGUGUAGCGGUGGAAUGCGUAGAUAUCGGGAGGAACACCAGUGGCGAAGGCGGCCUACUGGGCACCAACUGACGCUGAGGCUCGAAAGUGUGGGUAGCAAACAGGAUUAGAUACCCUGGUAGUCCACACCGUAAACGAUGAUUACUAGGUGUUGGAGGAUUGACCCCUUCAGUGCCGCAGUUAACACAAUAAGUAAUCCACCUGGGGAGUACGACCGCAAGGUUGAAACUCAAAGGAAUUGACGGGGGCCCGCACAAGCAGUGGAGUGUGUGGUUUAAUUCGACGCAACGCGAAGAACCUUACCAAGUCUUGACAUCCUGCGACGCACAUAGAAAUAUGUGUUUCCUUCGGGACGCAGAGACAGGUGGUGCAUGGUUGUCGUCAGCUCGUGUCGUGAGAUGUUGGGUUAAGUCCCGCAACGAGCGCAACCCUUACUGUCAGUUACUGCGCAAGAGGACUCUGGCAGGACUGCCGUUGACAAAACGGAGGAAGGUGGGGAUGACGUCAAAUCAUCAUGCCCUUUAUGACUUGGGCUACACACGUACUACAAUGGCGUUAAACAAAGAGAAGCAAGACCGCGAGGUGGAGCAAAACUCAGAAACAACGUCCCAGUUCGGACUGCAGGCUGCAACUCGCCUGCACGAAGUCGGAAUUGCUAGUAAUCGUGGAUCAGCAUGCCACGGUGAAUACGUUCCCGGGCCUUGACACACCGCCCGUC